GUUUGAAGGAAACAAGAUAAGAAAUCCACCCCUCCUGGUCGGCAAGAUUCAGAACAUACGGAAUAUCCUGCUGGCAGGAAAGUGAAGCUUACACCCAUAUGCUCAGCCAGUCUCUGGUAUGAGUAUUGCAGGUCUGCAGCAUGCCAAGAAUUGAUCGCCUGCAUUCAUAUUUUUCGUGGUGCUGUGUGACAGUCAUAGUGACCCAGCUGAGCCUCAUCAACCAGGUCUCAUAAGGAAAAGAGAGUAACCAACUUCUCCACAAUCUUUUAAGAGGGGAAUUCAGAGGAGACCAGAUUUUAGACAACAAAGGUGAAUGCAAGAAGAAAUCAUUAGAUUUAGAAAAACUGCUUCUUCUAGGUCUGUUUGUAUUGCACCAAGGAGAUGGGCAUGAGCAGCAUUUCCAGACCCUCACAUUCAACUUUCCACUCCAGACAAUCUAAAGCUAUGGGGAAGCAAACAUCACAGGCACAGUACAUUCCUGCUCCAAAGGACAAGGCACUUCAUUCUCAGGUUUGGCAAUUGGGAGUGCAGUCUGUUAUUGAAGCUGAGCUUAAGGAGGGCAAAGAUUAGAGUAUGAAAAUAAUUUGUUCUGAUGUAUAUUUUAAUACAGUAAUUGCUGGUUGAGCAAGACAGUGCAUCACUAGACUUGUAAUCAGCAGUAGUCACUCUCAUUGUUUGCUGCAUGCAGCAGUAAA